UGGACCUGAAGACCAGACUUGCAUCAGUGAUUUCAGGACUUUGAAGACCAUGGAGAAAAUAAUUCUUUUGUUCCUCUUCAUCAGAGUCUUCACACUUCAAUGCCAUGCAUAGGAUGAGCUUUCAUUUAAUGAGCUGGCAGAACUUUAUCCAGAAUGGGAGAAUCCUGAUUGGAUGAG